GCUUGUCUCAAAGAUUAAGCCAUGCAUGUGUUAGUAUAAACGCCUUUAUACUGUGAAACUGCGAACGGCUCAUUAUAUCAGUUAUAGUUUAUUUGAUACUUUUCGACUAUUGGAUAACCGUAGUAAUUCUAGAGCUAAUACAUGCGAAAAGUCCUGACUUCUUCGUGAGGGAGGGAUGUAUUUAUUAGAUACAAUCAAACGCACCAACAUAAAACCUUGGUGAUUCAUAAUAACUGUUCGGAUCGUAUGGCUUUUUGCCGACGACAGAUCAUUCAAAUUUCUGCCCUAUCAGCUUUCGACGGUACUGUAGUGGACUACCGUGGCAUUAACGGGUGACGGAGAAUUAGGGUUCGAUUCCGGAGAGGGAGCCUGAGAAAUGGCUACCACAUCCAAGGAAGGCAGCAGG
rnacentral:rRNA from 1 species